rnacentral:lncRNA from 8 species
AUGGCAACUUCAUCCCCAAGGUUCACGUGGUGUGAUUGUCGCAAACACAAGAUUCCUGUCAAAGACACCCAUGAGCUGUGCCUGCAUUGUCUGGGCAUCCAGCAUGCCAAGGAGGCUGUGCUGGAGUAUGGCAAAUGCCCACACUGUGCCAAGAUGGACUGGAGCACCUGCAUCAACCGCCUCACUAAAGUUCAGGAGAUAAUGCACCGCGAGAGCCAGCAGAGGAAGCACGAGGCAGCACAGUCUGAAGUUAAGCCCAAGCCUGAGACCACUUCAGCUCCCAUCAAGGAACCAAAACCGGAAGAAAAUACAGUCCCCACCCUGCCCCCACAUCGGCUCUCUGCUUCCACACCAGCCCAUUCCUCCACCAUGCCAGUGUUGUUCACCAUCCUCUCCCCACCCCCAGCGCAGGCAGGGGACAAUUUGAGCAUCCCAAAAGGCACUUUCCUCUCACAACUUGCUAUUCAGCAGUCAGCUGACUCCACCCCAUCCUUGAGCCAAUCAGGUUCCAACAUGCUGACCUCCAGCUCCUGUAAACGACACGGUUUCUCAUCGUCCUGCUCCAAACGCUCCAAACGAAGCCGCAGUAGCCACAGGCGGAGACGCUCUCCCUCCUCCUCCUCUUCCUCUUCAGACUGGAGCUCUGAUGAAGAUGAUUCCUGCCCCUCUGGAAAGGGAAGGAGGUCUCAGAGGGAAUCGCGGCAAGCUGUCCGGUCAGAGAGGAGGCACGGGGAGCUGGUGGAGGUUGUUCAACAGGCCGUCCAGCUACAGUGGGCUGUUCUGGAGAAGCGCAUUGAGGCUCUGGAGAGGAGAGGUGCUGAGGCUGUUGUGUCGUUCCCCACUCCAGCCCAAACUAUACAUCUUCACGCCUCCAUCCCUCUGGCAUCCACCUCCUCUCAGGAGGGCAACCAGAGAGAUUUAUCCUGCCUUGUCAGCGAGCAGCUGGUGACGGAAUCUAUGUCCAGUACCAUUGUGAAGCAGGAAGAGGAGCCUUCCUCCAUUUCGUUUGCCUUGAGACCUCUCAGUGAUGGACACCGUGAAGGGGAGGAUGCCUCUCAGUCAACUGAGGGUCCUAUCUCUAAACAGGACUUACUGGAAGCUAUGGAGCUUCAGAGCCUCAUAGCACGUGCUGCCAAGUAUCUUGGUAUAGACUUUCCCAGCACACCAGCCAGCCCCAGCCCACCAGACCCCACAAUGGUGCCGGAGUUUGAGGACCUGGUCCAGAGCUUUUGGCCAAACCCUGCCAGCUCGAAACCGUACAGGGAGCUGUUCUCUAAGAUGUACAGGCUUCACGACUGCCAGUCUCCAGCGUAUGACCAGAUGCCCCAGGUCAACAGUUUCAUGUCGGCUAUCUUCCAGGCGGUGAAGCCCACAGAGAACAAGGAGGCGCCGGUGCCAGCUGAGCGAUGGCGUUUCACUGAGACUCUAGUAGAGAGGAUGUACCAGACUGCUGGCAUGCUUGCCAAGACGGCCAACUACCUACGCUACCUAUCAGACUACCAGAGGAGGCUUCUGCUGGAGAUCACUGAGGAUUGUCCAGCCCAGCGUUUUAUGGUGGCCCUUAACGAGCUGAAGCUCAUUGGCCAGUUCACCCUCCAGCUAUCCUCCCACCAGGCUGAACUGUCUGGAAGGGUCAUGGCUGCUUCUGUAGCCAUCCGAAGACAGGUCUGGAUGGCUAAGACCAACUACACAGACUCUCUGAAAGCCACUGUGGCUGACCUUCCAUUUGUGGUCAGUCACACCUUUGGGGUUAGCUCAGCCUCAGGCCCUAGCUCAACUGGAAUGGUGUGCAAACAGGAACCGUUGUAA